CAGAAACAAGCCUUAUUGACGUCUGAGAAGCCUGGAGCCUUUCAGGGAAGCUCAAAAUGAGCGGGGUGUGCAACCAGGAUGGGUUCAGAUCAGGAAAGAGAACAGAACAGGAAGCCAUCUGGAGAGUGAAGAGAAGAGAGCCAGAAGAAUUCAAGGAGAAAAGGGGACGAGAAGCUCAAGUUAUGGAAUUGGCAGAGGAUAUUUGCAGCCAAUCAUUUUAAGAGCAUCUGAAGGCGUGUGCGGGUUAUUUCUGAUGCCUCUUUGUCUCACCUUCCCUUGCUCCCUCCUGUGCUGUUAUCCCAGGGUGCUGGAAAGCAGUUACCUGUUCUUCCCAGAAGCCCUUUCCAGCUGGCUUCUGGCUAGGUUCUGCCAUUGAGAGACGCUGGUGAGAGGCUGCGGUGGGGUAGGAGGAGGAAGUGAGGGAGCGGCGUCUGUCUGCCUAUGUGAAGGCCUUGGCAGCAGGGUGGGGACUGCUGGGGGUUACUGUCAGCAACGUUGCAUGGGUGACAGUUUGAGAAGCUUCACCCUGGGUUUCUGCUCAGCAGCCCUGUCUCAAGCAGUUCAGUGGCGAGUGUGCGCUCCUGGGCACCAAGCCAAGGGCAGUCCCAGCUUCCUGAUCUCUGCGAGCAUCUCCUUCCCCUUUCACUUCAGAGCACCUUCUCCCUUAUGCUCCUGCAGCUCUUGCAACACUCUUGUAAUCAAUUCUUGGUGUUAAAUCCCACUCUUUUUGAAAUAUCUAAAGAAGUUUCUGCUUUUUUUUUUUCUUUGGGGAAGAUUAGCCCUGAGUUAACAUCUGCUGCCAAUCCUCCUCUUUUUGCUGAGGAAGACUACCCUGAGCUAACAUCUUUGCCCAUCUUCCUCUACUUUAUAUGUGGGACGCCUACCACAGCAUGGCUUGCCAAGUGGUGCCAUGUCCGCACCCGGGAUCCAAACUGGCCAAUUCCAGGACACCAAAGCGGAAUGUGCGAACUUAACCACUGAGCCACCGGGCCAGCCUCAAUUUCUGCUUUCUUGAUUGAAUGUUGAAACAUACGUGCGUGGUCGUAGGAAAUAGACCCACAAAAUGGGAAUCUGGGGCUGGUUAUCUGCAUUGCUUGUGCUGGUCCGCAGAGAUGACCUCUCUGGCAGCAUGCCCUGCACUUACAUGAUCACCUGCCUAGAUGGAGUGUCCACUGAAGGCAAGGCUGCCGCCAGUGACCAUCGUGGUGGGAAUAGAGAUGACAAGGUUUGUGGGAUAGGCUGGCUUCUGAUUGCACUGGAGAGAUUUCAAAAGAAAAUUGAAAGCUGUGGGCUUUAACCUCUCAGAUCAAGCACAGUCAGAGACCCAGCUUCUAUGAUGAUCCUAAGUGAUUGCUUAUCUUUUGUAGCCUCAGGGCCGAUAGGGCUAAAGGUCAGACCCACCUUUGAUCCUACCUGAUGCAUAAUUACAACAGAAGUUGAAUUCAAGGCAUCACCAGGUCUUUUCAGUGAAGUCAGGCUAUUGCUUGGGAAGAAUAGGAUUCUGAGGAUUAGAAUGGGGAUAGUUGGGAGGAUAGAAGCAAACAGGAGAAACUUCAACCCCCCAUCCCUCUGAGCCUCUUUGUUAGUGGAAGUAGCGUCCCCCCACCCGACCCCCACCUGCCUGAGGGGAUUAGUCUUUGCCUGCUUGGAGUCCUGUUAAUGAGCUCACUUGAGGUGCUUACCUGGCAAGGGGAUGCUGAGUCUUCUCAAGACUUGCUCCUCAUUAACUCCGAUCCGUAAUUGGAGUCAGAUCCCAGCAUGCCCCAGGGAAACAAUGCAAGGCCCGAUUUAGGAGAUGGUCGCACACUGAAAGAAUAGCAGGAUAUUCGUGCAUUUUUAUCAGCGGAAACUUGGGGAGUAAGUAUGUGGGGAAUGGAUUCUAAUGGUGUCAGAGCAUGACAUUCGAUCCGGGUGAAUUUAUCAAUAAAGCUGACUUACCAGAGAUUCUAGAUUCUGUGUCAGCUCCAACAGCUGGCAAUGGCUUGAAUGGUUUGCUUAGCUAAACUGGUGGAAUGAGAUUGGAGUGUCCUGCAGUGGUGGCACUCUCUGACUUUUGGAGACCACGUGAACUGUGUCUGAGUGCUCUCUGAGAGCCAUUCACCAGAUAACCCCACAUAUCUAGGGUAGGCUGUCUGUGGCAUUCAGCACUUUUAUAAGGAGUUUUGGCAGGUCCCAAUAACAGAGUCACAGCACAGACUCCAAGGGGUUUGGGGCAAAGAUAUAUCUUCUUCUGCAAAUAUCUGUUCUCCAUUUGAGCAACAGCUUUGGAUUUGCUACUGGUUACUGGUAGAGACCAAAUGCCAGGCCACAAGACCCCAGAUGAGUAUGUGACCUGAGCUGGUUGUGACAUGAUCCACCAAGUCACACACCACACUCCACCUUCAAGAGGAAGUUGAUGAGUAUGAUGCUACCAGCCUGGAGCAGGCCCCUGGAGCAUAAGUAAGUCGCUUGAGCAGGUGGCUCAGACUCCCACGGCACCUCCUCCUACUCCAUCCUCCCCUCACCCACUCCCCACAACUAUGGCCUCGUGGGCAUUCUCUGUGGGCAGAAGAGCAGAGAGGAAACCUGCAGACCCAGUUAAUAGAUUGCUUUGUAAAUAUGCUGCAGUAGGCAGAAUUGGAAUUCUGCAGCGUCACAGCUUCACUCAAGUGUGACCGAAAGGUAGAGGGAGAAGGAAAUGCCCCCAGCAGCCCACUUGCCUGGAUGGAAAGACAUCCAGAGGGGCAGGAUGUACACCAGUUCAGUGGCAGCAGCUGACAGUUUGACUGAGGGUCCGGGUACUUGGAAAAAGCAAGAUUGGAGACUUAAAAAGGUCUGGAGAAGGGGUUUGUGGAUGAACUUCUCAGAAUCGGGAGAGAUGGGAGGGGAUGUGCGGCCCUUGUGAAUGCUCCCCUAAGGGCACCUUCUACACAGGAGGCCUUUAAUAAACAAGUGGCAGGAUGCCCCAUUUGUACAUGUCGGUUGGUCUCUUUUUCCAGCCAUUCACUGGUGCCGCCCAGUGCUUGCUCAACUGAGCUUUUGUACAAAGUGGCCCUGGCCACAUCUGGAGCUAAUGUAGCAAGGAUGUCAUCAAGGACCCUGGAUCUUUCUGUCUUUCUGCUUUGUCAUUCUUAGCAUAUUGGUUUUAGGCUUUGUGCUUAUUCCCUCAUGGUUCCAAAAUGGCUGCUGCCAUUCCAGACUUCAUGACUACAUUAAACAACAAGAAGGGGAAAGGGCAAUAAGCAAAAGGCUCUCUCCUCAUUAGGUCUCAAGGCUUU
rnacentral:lncRNA from 1 species